rnacentral:rRNA from 1 species
UACGAGGGGGGCAAGCGUUGUUCGGAUUCAUUGGGCGUAAAGGGUGCGUAGGUGGCGCUGUAAGUCAGGUGUGAAAUUUCGGAGCUUAACUCCGAAACUGCAUUUGAUACUGCGGUGCUUGAGGACUGGAGAGGAGACUGGAAUUUACGGUGUAGCAGUGAAAUGCGUAGAGAUCGUAAGGAAGACCAGUGGCGAAGGCGGGUCUCUGGACAGUUCCUGACACUGAGGCACGAAGGCCAGGGGAGCAAACGGG